GACGAACGCUGGCGGCGUGCUUAACACAUGCAAGUCGAACGGAAAGGCCCUGCUUUUGUGGGGUGCUCGAGUGGCGAACGGGUGAGUAACACGUGAGUAACCUGCCCUUGACUUUGGGAUAACUUCAGGAAACUGGGGCUAAUACCGGAUAGGAGCUCCUGCUGCAUGGUGGGGGUUGGAAAGUUUCGGCGGUUGGGGAUGGACUCGCGGCUUAUCAGCUUGUUGGUGGGGUAGUGGCUUACCAAGGCUUUGACGGGUAGCCGGCCUGAGAGGGUGACCGGCCACAUUGGGACUGAGAUACGGCCCAGACUCCUAUGGGAGGCAGCAGUGGGGAGUAUUGCACAAUGGGCUGAAGCCUGAUGCAGCAACGCCGCGUGCGGGAUGACGGCCUUCGGGUUGUAAACCGCUUUCGCCUGUGACGAAGCGUGAGUGACGGUAAUGGGUAAAGAAGCACCGGCUAACUACGUG
rnacentral:rRNA from 1 species